CUUGUUUUCCGCGGACUUUCCGUGCCCGUUCUGCUUGGUUUUAGCGUCGUUUUUCAUCAAUUCGUUGAGCUCCGUCGUCAUCUCUGCUCCAUAAAGAUGUCUUAUCAGCUGUAUCGCAACACCACGCUGGGCUGUAUGCUACAGGAAACGCUCGACGAGCUGCUUCAGUAUGGACAAAUUACUCCUCAUCUGUUCAGUCGGGUGUUGGUACAGUUCGACAAAUCUAUCAAUGCGGCCCUCUCGAACCGCGUCAAAUCGCGAGUCACGUUUAAGGCCGGCAAACUGAACACUUACCGCUUUUGCGAUAACGUCUGGACGCUGAUGCUGAACGACGUCGAGUUCCGGGAGGUGCACGAGUUCGCGAAGGUAGACAAAGUGAAAAUUGUUGCCUGUGAUGGCAAAAAUGUGCCGAUCACCGAAGAACCAAACCGAACAGAUCGAUAGGGCACCACCGUGCGCUGGUUCAGCUGCACGCAAAAGAGGAUAUGGUAUCAAAUCAGGGGCAAUAUAUGUUGCAUCUGUUUCCUUUACAAUUGUUUUGUAUUAUUUCCUUUGUUUUUAGUUGAUAAGUAUGUUUGCGUGCUUGUGCGAACGAAAGUGAAACAAAUAAACCGAAUACCCACAAUGUUGGAAAAGAAAGAGGAACAAAUUAGCAGCGACUGACCUCAAAACCAUCGUCUCAUUGCGUUUCCAAAAGUGUCCACGAAUGUCGCAACCCGUUUUAUUUAAAACGCCAAGAUAUGACAAA